CCUUAUUCAUUACCAGUCCUCUCCUGUGGUGUUUUAGAUUUCAUUACCUUAUUCAUUACCAGUCCUCUCCUGUGGUGUUUUAGAUGUCAUGACCUUAUUUAGCAUCAUUAUUGGUCAUUUGGUGUGUGAAAAGAGCUUAGGAUCUGUUUGAACAACUAUAUAUUUUUUUAACCUAAAAUAUCAAUAGUAGCUCAUUGUCUCUUAUCAUGAUAUGUUAUUGACUUAAAACAUAGCUUCUCACCAAAAUCAUGACAUCAUGACCAUGACUAUAAUCAAACUUAAAAAAAAACAUUGAAAUGGAACGUAUUGGUCAUGAGACUGGGCUGUAUUUGAUUAUAGACUGGGUGGUUCGAGCCCUGAAUAUUGAUUGGCUAAAAGCCGUGAGACUGUAUACCACGGGUAUGACAAACAUUUCAUUUUAUUGUUCUAAUUACGUUUGUAACCAGUUUAUAAUAGUAAUAAGGCACCUCAGGGGUUUCUGGUAUACUGUAGGGCCAAUAUACCACAGCGUUGCAUCGUUCCUAAGAACAGCCCUUAGCCGUGGUAUAUUGGCCAUAUACCACACCCCUCGGGCCUUAUUGCUUAAAUAUACAACACUAUAAUUCAAAGACAUAAUGUCAACACAUUUAUUUGAAUGUUGAUUUAUCACACAUUCGUUCACCAGUUCCUGAGAACUGCUUUAAUACAGCGUAUAACACACACAGGCACAGUAAGGCAAGAUGGCGGCUCCUUGGAGGUUGCUUUAAUACAGAAUAUAACACAGACAGGCACAGUAAGGCAAGAUGGCGGCUCCUUGGAUGUUGCUUUAAUACAGCGUAUAACACAGACAGGCACAGCCAGGCAAGAUGGCGGAAGUCUUGUUUGAAAUGCUCAGGAAAAAUGUCUUUACCUCAGAAAUUUGAAAUAAAGAAUGUAUGUAAUCUUCAGGUCUUGGUGGAGAGUAGAGGAGGAGAGAAAGUGGAGGAGAGAAGGAAGAGGAGAGAAAGAGGGGGAGGAAAAGGAGAAGAGCCCUAACAGAGUCCUGUUGCAUACACACUGCAGCUGUCUGUGCAUAUACCUUUGGGGAGAAACUUGAAAAUGCUACAAAGAGUAACAUUGAAUGUAAUUCAGGUAUUUCACAGGAUAUUUGACGCCAUAAAAUCAAUGGUUUUAUUAUUAUAUAUGAAUAUAAAUACAUGUUUUUAAAUUUGAAUGUCGAUUUUUUUUGGUGGAAGGCUGGUUGUGUUUAUGAAGUGUUAUGUUGAACACAGAAAGUAUUAAUUUUUUGUUGGACAAACUGUUUACAAAUCAACCCAAAGCAUUGUGUUUACAUGUACUAUUCACAAAUGAAUGUUAUAUACAUAUUUUAUUGUAAUAGAUGUAAUUAUUCAAUGAAAGAUAUAAAGAAAAGGUGCACAUUUAAAUUACACUUAUAUUUCAAACCUGGACACAGACAAGAUAUAACAGAAGAAAAUAGAAAAUGGACCUGAACAUGAUGUCUAACAAUAAAAAGUGGGUAGCCUAGUUGCUAGACCGUUGGGCCAGUAACCGAAAGGUUGCUGGAUCAAAUCCCCGAGCUGACAAAUCAAGGUCAAAAAUCUGUCUUUCUGCCCCUGAACAAGGCAGUUAACCCACUGUUCCCCAGGCGCUGAAGACGUGGAUGUUGAUUAUGGCAGCCCCCUCGCACCUCUCUGAUUCAGAGGGGUUGGGUUAAAUCAGUUGAAUGCUUUCAGUUGUACAACUGACUAGCUAUCCCCUUUUCACUAAUCAAUAUUAUGCUUAUGUAAAAUACAAUACUAGAUAUAACAUUUAGACAAGCCAGAGGAAAAUAUAUUCACAGGGUUGUGCUGUCGCUACCACUCUGUUUAACAGUCUGGAAACAUGAGGUCAUUCAGUUCAGUUCGGUACUGACGUCAUGUCAUGAAUACUGGUCUGUUACCAUAGUUAUGUAGACUGGAUGCGCGCUGGAGGAUGAUGUAAUGUUCUUAUUUUUCCUCUCCCCCCAAUGCAAUCUCAUUAUGGUAGUAUCACACCCCCCUUCUUUUGGAGUGGCAUUGCUCUGAUUGGAUAUAUCACCACUCUGGCCUCCCAGUGUCCUCAGUACAGCUGGUGUCUUCAGUCAUGCCAUACAGCUGGGUCAAACACACUGACCCCAGGGUUCAGGCACAUAUUGAUCACUUUGUCUCAAAUGGCACCCUAUUCCCUUUAUAGUGCACAACUUUUGACUAGGGCCUUGGUCAAAAGUAGCGCACUAUAUAGGGAAUAGGGUGCCAUGGGCCACAUGGUAGGUCUAAUAAAGUAAAAAUACAUCUUAAACUAAGCAGGAGAACUCAGCCUUAGGAAGGUACUGAGAGACGGGUUAAAUAUGUAAUCAUUUAUAUGCAACUACAUUAAGAUACAUAAUUGAUAAUAAUCAUUACAGGCUGUUAUAAUUCGUUUUCAGAUAGAGGUGUUGCAUAUCAGGCAGGGCCUAGGGCUUGAGGCCAACUGUCAUAGUUUAAAACAGAGGUAAUGAGAGUUUAGUUCAUGAUUAGCAGCCUAUAUCUAUACUAUAAUUAGUCAAUGUGAUUCGUUAAACAUCUUUCAGCCAUUUCACCAGGCUCAGAUUCCCCAAAACAUCCAUGUUUGUCAAACAUGUAGAAUUUGGUUGAAUAUACUUAUUUUGUUAAUUUUUCUGUUAGUUGGUUUGUUGUUUUUAGUUAAUGGAUUACCUCGCUAAACAUAUAUGUUACUGCUUGAUGGUAUCAGUCCGAGUUAAUUAGCAGGAACGGCUCAGAUCAUUAGAAGGUAUUGAUGAUUGGGUGAGGUAGCCCUUUUAAAGUACAAUGACCUCACAAUGUCUGACUGAUUUCUUGGAAAAAGACUUGGUGAUAUACUGAUUAUCACAGAAUAGUCACCUAAUAUGACUAAAUAGUCAUAGGAUAGUCACUAAAUAGUCUCAGAUUGAACAGAAAUACUGAGAGGGAAAGCCCUGUCCUGAAUUGAUCUGGGAUAAUGCUAUAAUGCCAAAGUUUCAAAUGAGAUUCCUACUUAUGGAGAAAUUGUUUCACCAAUGCAGCAGCAUGUUAGGAUUUUGUGUUCAUAUCACUGAAGUCCAUCACGUCUACAAUACACCUGUUUGUAAUCAGUGUUUUGCCUUUAUAAAGCCAAUGAGGAAAUAAAAAAUACGAACAGUUUGUCCAACAAAAUAGCCUUUCGUUAGCUGUUUUUAAUCUAUUAUUACAGUGACUUUGUUUUUGGUUCUUGUACAUUUUCUGUAACCAUUUCUACCUCAUUUUGCAACAUAUUGUACAUGAAGUAUUGAUUUCAUGUCUGUUUUUUUAUGUCUGUUUUCAAACUGAUAAUGUUCUUGAACUGUAAUAAUGGUCUACCUCAGAAAAGACUACGUUAAAAGAAGAUUAUCACACACUAUUAAACAGAAAUGUGUCAAUAUUGAACUGUGGCAUUGUCAGUCAUUUAAUACAUUUUUUCAGGACAUUACGACACUUUAUUUAGACAGUUAUAAAAGGAGAAGAGGAUACAGGCAGGUGGGAGAAACAGUGGGAAGGGUGGAUGCAGGGAUUGAACUCCGGUCGGGAGCUUCAUACAUGUGCCGGAAGAUUUAUCACUCAACCAUGGCCUGCAUGACAUAAGUGUUUUGGAUCAGGUGUU
rnacentral:lncRNA from 1 species